rnacentral:lncRNA from 1 species
CUGGGAUUCUCUAGUGAUAAGCUUCUUCGGUCAUCUAUCAGGCUGCUCCAAGUGCUCUCUGGAUUCUACUAUCGACCGACCUCCUACAAGGGUCAACCAUUCUCCGGACCUCUUCCAGAUCUUUUCCAACAGGAUUCGAUCGACUCCAAUCAGAAUUUUUCCAGAACUUCGUCAGUUCGUCAGUGGUCGAACUUUUCCAACAGCAGAUCUCCACGAUGGACGGACUCCAUCCAAGUUUCUACGACGGUCGACCACCUUCUGAAUUUCAUCCGAGCUCCUACGGGAGCCGGACUUCUUUCUUGAACUCCUGUUGCAGGUAGACUUCAUCCAAGCUCCUAUGUGUUGGGAAAUGUGUCCC